CCUACGGGUGGCAGCAGUGAGGAAUAUUGGUCAAUGGCCGAGAGGCUGAACCAGCCAAGUCGCGUGAGGGAAGAAUGUCCUAAGGAUUGUAAACCUCUUUUGUCGGGGAGCAAAAAGGCUCUGCGGAGUCGUAUUGAGAGUACCCGAAGAAAAAGCAUCGGCUAACUCCGUGCCAGCAGCCGCGGUAAUACGGAGGAUGCGAGCGUUAUCCGGAUUUAUUGGGUUUAAAGGGUGCGUAGGCGGAAUGCCAAGUCAGCGGUAAAAUCGCGGGGCUCAACCUCGCUCCGCCGUUGAAACUGGCGUUCUUGAGUGGGCGAGAAGUAUGCGGAAGGCGUGGUGUAGCGGUGAAAUGCAUAGAUAUCACGCAGAACUCCGAUUGCGAAGGCAGCAUACCGGCGCCCAACUGACGCUGAAGCACGAAAGCGUGGGUAUCGAACAGGAUUAGAUACCCGAGUAGUC
rnacentral:rRNA from 1 species